UACGGAGGAUCCAAGCGUUAUCCGGAAUCAUUGGGUUUAAAGGGUCCGUAGGCGGCCCGUUAAGUCAGCGGUGAAAUCUCCCGGCUCAACCGGGAAACUGCCGUUGAAACUGGCGGGCUUGAAUGACCGGGAAGUGACUAGAAUAUGUAGUGUAGCGGUGAAAUGCUUAGAGAUUACAUGGAAUACCGAUUGCGAAGGCAGGUCACUACCGGUUUAUUGACGCUGAUGGACGAAAGCGUGGGUAGCGAACAGG
rnacentral:rRNA from 1 species